rnacentral:tRNA from 1 species
GCCGCCGUAGCUCAACUGGCAGAGCGCGCCACUUGUAAAGGCGAGGUUGCAGGUUCGAUUCCUGCCGGCGGCACCA